rnacentral:rRNA from 1 species
AUUGAACGCUGGCGGCAUGCUUUACACAUGCAAGUCGAACGGUAACAGGCCGCAAGGUGCUGACGAGUGGCGAACGGGUGAGUAAUGCAUCGGAACGUGCCCAGUCGUGGGGGAUAACGCAGCGAAAGCUGCGCUAAUACCGCAUACGAUCUAUGGAUGAAAGCGGGGGACCGUAAGGCCUCGCGCGAUUGGAGCGGCCGAUGUCAGAUUAGGUAGUUGGUGGGGUAAAGGCUCAACAAGCCAACGAUCUGUAGCUGGUCUGAGAGGACGGACAGCCACACUGGGACUGAGACACGGCCGAGACUCCUACGGGAGGCAGCAGUGGGGAAUUUUGGACAAUGGGCGCAAGCCUGAUCCAGCAAUGCCGCGUGCAGGAAGAAGGCCUUCGGGUUGUAAACUGCUUUUGUACGGAACGAAACGGUCCUGGUUAAUACCCGGGGCUAAUGACGGUACCGUAAGAAUAAGCACCGGCUAACUACGUGCCAGCCGCCGCUGUAACAC